UACAGAGGUCUCGAGCGUUGUUCGGAUUCAUUGGGCGUAAAGGGCUCGUAGGCGGUUUGUCGCGUCGGGAGUGAAAAUCCAGGGCUUAACUCUGGACUGGCUUCCGAUACGGGCAGACUAGAGGUAUGCAGGGGAGAACGGAAUUCCUGGUGUAGCGGUGAAAUGCGCAGAUAUCAGGAGGAACACCGGUGGCGAAGGCGGUUCUCUGGGCAUUACCUGACGCUGAGGAGCGAAAGUGUGGGGAGCGAACAGG
rnacentral:rRNA from 1 species